rnacentral:tRNA from 1 species
ACCGGUAGUGUAAUGGAUCAGCACGACAGACCGGAUAUCUGUAAGUGAGGGUUCGAGUCCCGUCUAAGGUU